AUCGCGAAAUAAAUACAAACCUGUGCACCUGUUAGCAUGCCUAGUUGGGUGUAGACGCUGCUUGGAGUUCAAGCUACAGCAGUCGACGUUAUGUUCGUGAGAGCCUGUCAAAGAGUUUACCACAAAAUGCCAACUGGGAAGAAAGGACACAAAACUAGCAAGGCACCAAAUCCAGCUUGGUGUUUGUUAUAAGAACUGAUAUAGAGCUUUGGGUAGUCAGAUCCCAUAGCUUGACUGCGCAUAACUGUUCCCAGAUGGUGCAAGUGGUUGCUCAAGAUUCCCACAGAAGAACCUGGAGCUGUUAGUUUGAACAGUAAAAAAACAAUAUAACUGUCAAGGUGUUAGCAAAACCAGGAGCCAAAUACAAUGGGGUCACUGACAUGAGCCCUGAAGGUGUUGGUGUGCAGAUAGCAGCUCCUCCUAUGGAAGGUGAAGCCAAUGCAGAACUGGUUAAAUAUAUGGCCAAAGUGCUUGGAGUUCGUAAAUCUGAUGUCAGCCUUGAUAGGGGUUCAAAGUCAAGAAACAAGAUGUUGGUGAUUUCUGGAGAUGUGACUGUGGAUGGUGUGGUAGCAAGUUUACAAAGAGAGAUCAGUAAUGGCUGAACAUCACUCUUCAUCAUAAUUAUGACCUGGGCCACUGAAUAUUUCCCUGCUGACCGCUGAGUGUUAAGAAAGCAAGGCAGACUUCAGUUGAAUGUCCCCAAGCAGACAGUUGAUGCUAAACCAAUGCUAGUCAAUGGAAACUGCUCAGACCAGUAAGACCACAUGUCAGGCAACACAAAGAGUAACAGGAUGGUCUGUAUCGUCACUGAUGUUUUUAGAGCACAUAUAUGGAGGAUUCCAUGCUGUCAAGAUUGUGGGCAGUAUCCCAUUGGAAGUGAACGGAAGCAUGAUACAUUGCCUCUUGAAUGUAUGUUCUACUGAAUAUUGAUCAGCUGCUGAACUCUACCAGCUGCCACCAUAUCUGUAAAGUUCUGCAUAAAAGUGAUGCUAUUCUUCAUCAUGGGUUCAUCAGGUUCCAACAAUACUCUGUAGACAUUGUUCCACUGAUAACAGUACUGAAGAUUUGCUGCUUUCAGGUUUAUAUUAACUUGGCCAGUACUGUUUUGAAUUCAACAAGUAAACAAAGGGAAUAGAAAAUGAUACACUUAAUAAACUGAAAAACUGUCUGAAUAAGGUGCAUGGUUA